rnacentral:rRNA from 1 species
GACGAACGCUGGCGGCGUGCUUAACACAUGCAAGUCGAACGGAAAGGCCCUGCUUUUGUGGGGUGCUCGAGUGGCGAACGGGUGAGUAACACGUGAGUAACCUGCCCUUGACUUUGGGAUAACUUCAGGAAACUGGGGCUAAUACCGGAUAGGAGCUCCUGCUGCAUGGUGGGGGUUGGAAAGUUUCGGCGGUUGGGGAUGGACUCGCGGCUUAUCAGCUUGUUGGUGGGGUAGUGGCAUACCAAGGCUUUGACGGGUAGCCGGCCUGAGAGGGUGACCGGCCACAUUGGGACUGAGAUACGGCCCAGACUGCUACGGGAGACAGUAGUGGCGAAUAUUGCACAAUGGGAGGAAGUCUGAUGCAGCAACGCCGCGUGCGGGAUGACGGCCUUCGGGUUGUGAACCGCUUUCGCCUGUGACGACGCGUGAGUGACGGUAAUGGGUAAAUAAGCACCGGCUAACUACGUG